UUUUUUUUCCUUAAGUCUGGAGCAGAAAGGACCCACUGUUGGGGAGAGGUUAGUCUAUUACUUAAAGAGCAGCAGUCAUUAGUAGGUCCUGUGACAGAUGAUUACGCAAAGUAUCUAGACUUCACAACUAUCCUAUAGAGUAGCUAUCAUUUCCAUUUUAUUCUUGAGGAAAUGGGUUCAGAGAGGUUUAGAAACUUGCCCAAAGUCAGAGUAUAUACAAAGCCAUCUACAAGAAUUAUCCUUUAUCUCUCAAGAGAAUUCUAGAAUUCAUGUGUUAUUAGUAUAAGUACAAUGAAUGCAAUGCCAGUAAAUAAAAUGGAAUGAAAAGUCUGUUAUUAAAUUGGAGAAACAAAAGAAUCUUCAAGAAAAAUACAGCUAAGAGAUUCAAAAUUUAAAGCAUUUACCAUCCUUUCUGAAUGACACUUUAACUUAUAAUCUGAAUAGAAAAUAGUGGGAAGGAGUUCCUGUCGUGGUUCAGUGGUUAACGAAACCAACUAGGAACCAUGAGGUUGUGGGUUCAACCCCUGGCCUCACUCAGUGGGUUAAGGAUCUGGCAUUGCUGUGAGCUGUGGUGUAGGCCACAGAUGAAGCUUAGAUCCCACGUUGCUGUGGCUCUGGUGUAGCCCUGCGGUUACAGCUCCGAUCAGACCCCUAGCCUGGGAACUUCCAUAUGCUAGGGAGAAAGCAAAAGUACUGAGGCUACUUAUUAAUUAAGUGACCCUGGCAGAAUCAUCACCUCUCUAAAUCUGUUUUCUUGUCAGCAAAAUAGUGAUCACAAGCCCUGCCAGGGUUAUGAAGACAAUUAAAUGAGACACAUUACAUAAGGGCUUGGUGGAAAUAAAUACUUAAAAUAUAGCUGUUUUUAAUAAGUUCUGUCAAAAGCUUGAGGGAAUUCAUUGUUAUAUGAUCAACACUGAAAAAAAAAUCUUGCAUUUUGAGAGAGAAUGGAAUAUUUUAAAAGGCUACUACCAAUUUCUGUGUGGAGAAAUAUUUUUGCCUUACACUGACCAAAAAAGACUGGACAAAAAGAACAAGUAAAAGAAGCAGGUGCUUUUCUAAGAGACAUUCCUUAGGAUCUCAGUUGAAAGGUAAGUACAAGGCAAGUUUCUUGAGCCUAACCCACACCAGGGUUCCUGUGCACCUAAGUAAGCCACCUCUACCUAAUGUUGAGGAUGACUGGAUGGCUUAAGGGACCUAAAUGCAAUCUUUGCAAAAAUAUCUCUGAUUAUAGUAUGUUUAGAAUCACUAGCAUCCCAGGAAAAGACAAGAAUAUGAGGAUUUUUAAGAGAUUCCUAUUGCUAAAGGAAUCCUAGAACUCAAAAUUGGAAAUGACCUUAUCCAAUAAAAAAAAAAUCAUAUGAAUUGCAAAACAAUAUAGAAAGCUGUGUUCAAAGUUGUUAUUGAAACCUCUAACACUUCAAAGAACCAAAUGUGUCUUUCAUUAAAAAGAAGCACACAAUGUAGUGUAAAUGAAGCACUGACGGCUGACUGUGCAAAGAUGGUUCUCUACAUGAACCAAGUUCAGUCGGUAUAUUCUCUUCUCAAAGACCAAGGUUCUAGUCCUAGUUAAUCAUCUGAAAAGAACUGUCUUAGGUGAUACAGUGUUCAGGUGAAAUUGUGGAUAAACUAGUAUAGCCACUUCUCAUUGCUGGAACACAGGCUUCUAGAAGAGUAUUCUAAAUUGUGAAGAGGAAGGUGAGUUAGAAGAAAUGGGUUUUACUUCCAACUCUGCUA
rnacentral:lncRNA from 1 species